rnacentral:lncRNA from 1 species
GGGUGGUCUCUUGGUCACUUGCAGGUGUUUUAGGUAGGAUGUUGCAAUCUGCAAUCUAGGAACAUUUGACGACUUUUUCAAGUAAGCUAAACAACACAUGAAACUAUAGUAGAUUAACCAAGACAUGCAUUUAAUCCAACUAGUAGCAAUCAGCGACGGCCACUUUGGUUUUACACUUUUUGUUCACUCUGUGAACUAUAUAAUUUGACCAUAAAUUCUAAUUUGUUCUCUUGUUGAUAAUUCUUAUGCAGAUAACUUAUAACUUAUGUGUGUAUUUUUAUCAGACUCAAAGCAACUUAAUUUUGGAAUUCUGCAAAUUUAAUUGAUGAUCCAUUAUAACAACGUAGGGUUAGGGUUAGGGUCAGUUUUCGGUGUUGAUGUAGAGACAGAAUCCAAAAGUAUUUUGAAAUGUUUAAGAGAAAUGGCCUUGAAGAGUUCUGAAUAUUAACAUUCUUCUGUUUUUAUGCCUUGUAGUGUUUACCGCACGUGUGAAUAUGCAUAGAAAUUUUCAUGUAGCAAUUUCUGUGUUUGUGAUCUGUAUACAGAUUUUAUAAAAAUAAUAGCAGGGACAUUUCUGACCUUGAUCAUUGUUGUUAACUGAUGACAUUUGCCAGUUACAGUUUAAAUUAAGUUGAAUUUAUUAUUUAGGUGUUUCAUAAGAAGGAGUGAGUUGCAUACUAGGAUAUACUCUUGUAUUCCAUAUCCUCUCCUCACUCCGGCGCUUCCUAACAGGAAGAGCAAAUGCAUUGUGAGGAUAAACACUGAUUGGUUACUAUCUGUAGAGCAGGAUUAGCAGCUCUUUUUAGAUUUUGAGCUGCAAUCUCUUUUAAUAGUGCUUAAAUUGAUGCAGGUCAGUGAAUUUUGUGUUUACAGGCUUUUAACUCCCUAGCUUUGUGAAUACUGAAUUUAUGGAAAAGCUUAAUUUUCUCUGUAUCUCAGAAGGGAUAUGUACAAUUAAAAAAGAAAACAAUACAAAUUAUUUUACAUAAACUGGAGCAAUUUGGAAACAGUGUAAUAAGGGUUGAGUAAAAGAUUUCUCCCCAUCGUCGUGGCAUAUUCUACUGUUACACUUACCUGCCAUUGCUCAUAAUGGGUCUGACGUUGUAGGUACAUCUAAGUGUGGUUUGCAGUCACUAUUUUAUGUUAUUUGGAAAGUCUUGGAUUUUAAAAUGUUAACCCAAAUAAAUAUCAACAAGGCAUAUCUAUUUGGGAGUCACUUAUGACUUCUGCCCCUCCAACAGUAAUUUCUAUUUGCUGCAAACAUUUGCCAAGUUUACGGCAAAUUUUGAAGUUAAACUUUGCCUACCUAAUAUAAUGAGUGUGUGGUUCCUAUGCUCCCCUAGGUUUGCCAAAGGUAGUCUUGAUGUAAAUAAUACAUUCAAGUGAGAUGUCAAGCAAGUGUAUGGCUUGACAGAUUUUGCAUGUAGAUUGUAGCUAGUUAUCUCAGGUUAUUUAUUCUUUAAACUUUCACCAAUUUACCCAUUUUAAAAAUAGUGAAUUUGUAUUAAAAAUAGUUGGUAACAUAAACCAUGGCAUUCAGCCUACAUUUCAUAUGAGAUUUAUCUGCCUGUGCAGAGAUGUUACUUAACUUGAAGGCCUCUUUGUGGAAGAAAGAUUUGUCUUCCAACAUUUUGCGUCAGCAGUGCUGAAGUGCCACUCUGUGGAAGUUGCUUCUUAUGGCCUUCCUGCCACAAAAAUGAUAUGUGGUUUAACUCUUUCAGGAACUGGGGUCAUUUCAUCCCAAACGCUGACCAAGGUUGUUUAUAAACUCUUAGAAAAACAUAACAUAAAUGAAUCUUACUGCCAAGUGACAAGUUUCUUUUUAUGUUUGGUUGUAAAUUAUUUCAGAAACCUCAUUUUUGUUUAAAAAGCAGAUUUGUAUGAACAAAAUUGAGUGAACAAAUUGAGUCCAUUUAAUAUUAAAAUGUUGAAAGGGCUUACUUGGUGUAGAUGUUUCAAACAUCAAAAAUCUAGCUUUUCGGGGCUGGAUGCAGUGGCUCAUGCCUUUAAUCCCAAAACUUCAGGAGACUGAGGCGGGCAGAUCACUUGAGGUCAGGAGUUCAAGACCAGCCUGGCCAACAUGGCAAAACCCCAUCUCUACUUAAAAAACAAAACAAAACAAAAAACAGCCAGAUCUGGUGGCACACACCUGUAAUCCCAGCUACUCAGGUGGCUGAGGCAGGGAAAUCACUUGAACCUGGAGGCAGAGGUUACAGUGAACCUUGACUGCACCAGUGGACUCCAGUGUUGGCAAC